GGGGGUGAAAUUUUGGUUUCGACGGGAUUGAGGAGACUUAGAACUGCGUACCGUGUUCCCCGAAGACACGUUAAAAAAUUGGGAACAAAAAUAUAACUGGCGAAUAUAACUACGCCUUAGCUGCGUAAAUAAAACGUAGCUCGUUCUC
rnacentral:tmRNA from 1 species